UCCAUCAGGCACUUCAUCACCUUGUCCAAA
rnacentral:piRNA from 1 species